rnacentral:rRNA from 1 species
AAGUGAUUUUAACUAAAAGAGUUAAGAGAUUUAAUAAGUUAAGAAAACCAAUUUGAGAGGUAAGGUUUAGUAUAGGGUAUAGAAUAAAUGAAGUUAGUGAUAAGGGAGUACCGUGAGGGAAGAAUGAAAUAAAUGAAAAGUAUUUUAGAAAAAAGUAGGUUGUAUUGCCGUACCUUUUGUAUCAGGGUUUAUUAAAUAUAGAGAAAGAUUUUAAAUUCUCGAUUUAAGGAGAGCUAAAACAAUAAGACAGUUUAGGUAGCAAACUGAUUGUACAUAUAGUUUUUGUAAUGAAAUAUUAGCCGAUCCUUUAGGUUUCUAGUUUCCUAAGAAAUGAAUUUAAUUCAGGGACUGGUGAAUGUAGAGUAUUGAUCUCAUCAUUUAAAAAGUCAUUAAUGUUAAGGGGGAUAAGCUCCAUAACAAGGAUAUAACUUUAAAAUUUAAAAAGUUAGUAGGCUUGAAAUUAGCCAUCUAAUUAAGAAUGUUAUAAUUUACUUUUGGAAGAUUUAAUUUUAAGGAGUUUAGUGGAUAUAUUAGGAGGAAGUUUAAAAUGAAGAAAAACUUGUGAUAAUGAUGAAAUAAGUAUAGAUAAAAGUAAUGAAAAGUUUUAGUAAGGAACUCGGCAAAUAUAAUGCUCGCCUGUUUAUCAAAAACAUCGCCUUUUGUAAGGAUAGAAGGUUUAGCCUGCCCACUGAAGUUUAAAGGGCCGCGGUAUUUUGACCGUGCAAAGGUAGCAUAAUCAUUAGUCUUCUAAUUAAAGGCUGGAAUGAAUGGCUGGACGAGGUAUUAGCUGUCUCACUAAAAUUAACUUGAAUUUAACUUUCUAGUCAAAAGGCUGGAAUGGUUUUGGAGGACGAGAAGACCCUAUAGAGCUUGAUAUACAACUUAUGUAAUUUAUUUAGAGGUUGAAUAAUUUAAUAAGGUAUAUAUUUUGUUGGGGUGACGGGGAGAUAAAAUAAACUCUUUUUAAAGUGGACCACAAAUGAGUGAUUAGUUGAUCCAUUGAUAAUGAUUAAAAGACUAAGUUACCUUAGGGAUAACAGCGUAAUCUUUUUUGAGAGUUCUAAUCGACAAGAAGGGUUGCGACCUCGAUGUUGGACUAAGGAUAAUUCUUGGGUGUAGCAGUUCAAGGUUUAGGUCUGUUCGACCUUUGAAUCCUUACAUGAUCUGAGUUCAGACCGGUGUAAGCCAGGUCGGUUUCUAUCCUCAAUUAAGGGAAAUAUUUUAGUACGAAAGGACCAAAUAUUUAAGAUAUUCUUUAUGAAGUGAAUACUAUUAAUA